GAUGAACGCUGGCGGCGUGCCUAAUACAUGCAAGUCGAGCGAACGGACGAGAAGCUCGCUUCUCUGCUGUUAGCGGCGGACGGGUGAGCAACACGUGGAUAACCUACCUAUAAGACUGGGAUAACUUCGUGAAAACGGAGCCGAUAACGGAUAAUAUUUUGAACCGCAGGGUUCAAAAGUGCAAGACGCUCUUGCCGACACUUUGAGAUGGAUCCGCGCUGGAUUAGCUAGUUGGUAAGGUAAAGGCUUACCAAGGCGACGAUGCGUAGCCGAUCUGAGAGGAUGAUCAGCCACACUGGAACUGAGACACGGUCCAGACUCCUACGGGAGGCAGCAGUGGGGAAUAUUGGACAAUGGGCGCAAGCCUGAUCCAGCCAUACCGCGUGGGUGAAGAAGGCCUUCGGGUUGUAAAGCCCUUUUGUUGGGAAAGAAAAGAAGCAGGUUAAUACCCCGCUGUUCUGACGGUACCCAAAGAAUAAGCACCGGCUAACUUCGUG
rnacentral:rRNA from 1 species